AGGCAUCAAAUGAGAUGAGAUUGUCUCCUGUUUGUUCGUUUUCUCCUUUUUCCUUCUCUUCUCUUUCACCUUGAUCUCUUCCUUUUUCCUCCUCUUGUUGUGAAGUUG
rnacentral:ribozyme from 13 species